GACGAACGCUGGCGGCGUGCUUAACACAUGCAAGUCGAGCGGUACGGCCUCUUCGGGGGUACACGAGCGGCGUACGGGUGGGUAACACGUGGGUGACCUGCCCAUAGCUCUGGGAUAAGCCUGGGAAAAUGGGUCAAAUACCGGAUACGAACUUUUCAUGCCCGGGGUUUGGGGGAAAGUUUUUUUGGCUGGGGAUGGGGGUGCAGCCUAUCCGCUUGUUGGGGGGGUGAUUGGCUACCAAGGCGGAGGAGGCAAGCCGGCCCGGGGAGGCGGCCGGGCACACUGGGACUGGAGCACGGCCCAGACCCCUACGGGGAGGAGGAGGGGGGAAAAUUGCGCAAUGGGCGGAAGCCUGACGCAGCGACGGCGCGUGGGGUAUGGCGGCCUUCGGGUUGGAAACCUCUUUCGACCCCGACUGAUUAUGACGGUAGGGGGAGAAGAAGCACCGGCCAACUACGUG
rnacentral:rRNA from 1 species